UCAAACUUGGUCAUUUAGAGGAAGUAAAAGUCGUAACAAGGUCUCCGUUGGUGAACCAGCGGAGGGAUCAUUAUUGAGUGUAAAAACUCCCAAACCCCCUGUGAACAUACCUUUAGUUGCUUCGGCGGAUCCGCCCCGGGCGCGUCUUUUACAGGCGUGCCCCGGACCCAGGCGCCCGCCGAAGACCCUGAAACUCUCUGUUUUUUACUGAGUAUCUCUGAGUGUGAUUGCAAAAUCAAAUCAAAACUUUCAACAACGGAUCUCUUGGCUCUGGCAUCGAUGAAGAACGCAGC
rnacentral:misc_RNA from 1 species